AGGCCAUGAUCACGGAGCCGACGAAGAAGAGGAAGUCCGCCACCAAAAUCGCGGUCCGCCGCCCGAGCCGGUCGUUGGCCCAACCGCCAAUCGCCGCUCCGAUGAUCGCUCCGGCCACCGCCGUGCUCACGAUGCUCUCCUACUCAAGAAGAAUCUGAUUAUCCAUCAGAUCAGAUUUAACCCUUUCAGAUUUCAGAGGGAGAAAAAGGUUCAACCAAAUUACGAAAGCAUAGAAGAAACCAAGAGAUUACCAGUAUCAUAACCAAAGAGUAGGCCACCAAUUCCUGCAGAGAAGGCCAACCUAAGCACAUAAGGGUUCCUCCAGGCCAAGGAGAAGCACUCCCUGAAGGCAGAGGCAUCUGCUUGAUGAACUGUUCCUCCUUCCAUGACGGCUUGCAAUUGAAGAAAAACAAGAAAAGAGAGAUCUUCAAGUGAGCAUAUACAGUGGCACCAAGUCAACAUCAAGAAGGACGUGCAGCUCUGUUUGAUUGCACAAGUCCACACUUUGGAGUGAUAUGAUCUUUUGACCUUCUUUCACCACAGAUUGGAAAAGAAAUAUUUUUAAAAGGAGAAGAAGAAUCUAGUGAAUGGGGCUUUGUCUGCGGCAUGGCUUUGGCUUCUUGCUCUUGACGACCUCAUGUAGCACCACCACGAGUUAUCUGGUUUGAACCCUCCGGCUGCCAAAUUGUAGCACGAUUCUUUGAGGCCUUCGAUUAUUGGUUGAUGAUUUUAGUGUCGCUCGAUCCAAUUGAACUCUCGUAAGAGGAUCAAUAUCUUUGUCUCGGCUCCAAGCAUGCGAAGACAAACAUGAAAAGACCUUUAUCCAGAUUUUCUUGCUUCUUCUAAUUAUUUAUGCAUAAUAUCCAACACGUCA